UUACAUAUAGGAUCACUACUAGAAAAUAACCCUUUAAUGACACGCAAAACAUGACACACACAUAUCUAUGAUACGGAAAAGUGUGCGGCCUAAAAAUAAUGUCAUUUCUCUCAAAUUUUGAAGGAUAUAGGACGCACAUUUUUGUGCGCCUAAAAUAAAUGUCAUAAAAAGAAAAAAAAACACGGAGGGCACCUAACAAAUAUGUGUGUCGUAUAGAGGCGUUGCUUUAUAAUUUUUUUAGAAAAGGCGCGUCCAUUAUUUUUUCUAGCAAACUAGGGCUUUUUUCACAGAUAACUUACCACCCCUUCCACAAUGCUUUGCAAUCGAAGACUUGAUUAUCCUUUCCUCACUUCGUUGGCAAGCUCCGUCUCACCUCAUCUCAUCGGGGACCUCAGGCUCACAUCUCAUCACCGACCAUUGCGACUCCUCAACACAGAUGAUUGGACCUCUUCUUGCUUCACAACCCUCAUCUCACAACUUUAAUUUGAAAAAAAAAAUGAAGGAAUUAGUAGCUUUUCAAGAACAAAUUGCAUAUGAAAGUUUUUUCCAGCUUUCACGUGUUAGCGUCAAGCCUGUUGGCAAUACAAUGUGGAGUACCCUCUUUCAUCAAUUCUUGAUAGUGAUAUCACGUGAGAAUUUUUUUUAUUGUUGUUCUUUCUAGGGUUUUCUCCUCUUUCUAUGCUUUUUUAUUGUUGCUCUUCCUAGGGUUUAUCGAUGUCGUCGAGACCUAACACCAACACAGAGGUUCACCAGGAAAGGGUAGAAGAUGAUGUAGAUAUUCAUAAGAAUUAGGGAGAAGAAAUAUUACAGAAAAAGAGACGUGAUGCAUGCACUGCGAGCCAGUUCACCAUGCUCGUUCAGUCCGCUUGCGCCGCCGAAAAGAAGUGCAAAGAUACGAUUCUACAUAGAGCAACCAAUCAUUGUGCUUAAGUUGUUCAGUUGGUUUCACUUUGAAGAAAGAUCAGGUGGUUUCAGUGCAAGAUAUGAUCCAGUGGUUUCACUUUGAAAUGGGAGAAAAGCUUCAAAGAAGGAAGUCUUGUUUGUGUGAGAGUCUUUGGAUUCCGACUCUUGGAGGGCCUUGCUACUGGUGUUUUAAAGGUAAAGUCCAUUUCACAGAGUUUCAAGAUCCAUGGGUACCAAAUCCUUUAUCUGGAUACCAUGAAGGGCAAUUUGUGAAAUGCAAAGUUGUGGAAAUUGGUCAUUCUGGAACAGGAGCUGUUCAUGUUGAUCUCUU